rnacentral:rRNA from 1 species
AUACGGAGGGUGCGAGCGUUAAUCGGAAUUACUGGGCGUAAAGCGUGCGUAGGCGGUUUGUUAAGUCAGAAGUGAAAGCCCUGGGCUCAACCUGGGAACGGCUUUUGAGACUGGCAGACUAGAGUUGAGUAGAGGGGAGUGGAAUUCCCGGUGUAGCGGUGAAAUGCGUAGAGAUCGGAAGGAACACCAGUGGCGAAGGCGACUCCCUGGACUCAAACUGACGCUGAGGUACGAAAGCGUGGGUAGCAAACAGGAUUAGAUACCCCAGUAGUCC